GGUCCAGACUCCUACGGGAGGCAGCAGUGGGGAAUCUUGCGCAAUGGACGAAAGUCUGACGCAGCGACGCCGCGUGGGUGACGAAGGCCUUCGGUUGUAAAGCCCUGUGGGGCGAGACGAACAGCUUCUGGUCGAACAGGCCAGGGGUUUGACGGUAUCGCCUUAGCAAGCACCGGCUAACUCUGUGCCAGCAGCCGCGGUAAUACAGAGGGUGCAAACGUUGCUCGGAAUUACUGGGGCGUAAAAGCGCGUGUAGGCGGUUUUAUAAGUCCGACGUGAAAGCCCGGGGCGUCAACCCCGGAACGUGCGCUGGAUACUGUGAAGCUGGAGUCCUGAAGAGGAGAGCGGAAUUCCCGGUGUAGAGGUGAAAUUCGUAGAUAUCGGGAGGAACACCUGUGGCGAAG
rnacentral:rRNA from 1 species